UACGGAGGGGGCUAGCGUUGUUCGGAAUGACUGGGCGUAAAGCGCGCGUAGGCGGAUUGGCAAGUUGGGGGCGAAAUCCCGGGGCUCAACCUCGGAAUGGCCUUCAAGACUGCUGGUCUUGAGUUCGAGAGAGGUGAGUGGAAUUCCGAGUGUAGAGGUGAAAUUCGUAGAUAUUAGGAAGAACACCAGUGGCGAAGGCGGCUCACUGGCUCGGUACUGACGCUGAGGCGCGAAAGCGUGGGGAGCAAACAGG
rnacentral:rRNA from 1 species